CCUACGGGUGGCAGCAGUGGGGGAUAUUGCACAAUGGGGGAAACCCUGAUGCAGCGACGCCGCGUGGGCGAAGAAGUAUUUCGGUAUGUAAAGCCCUAUCAGCAGGGAAGAAGAAAUGACGGUACCUGACUAAGAAGCCCCGGCUAACUACGUGCCAGCAGCCGCGGUAAUACGUAGGGGGCAAGCGUUAUCCGGAUUUACUGGGUGUAAAGGGGGCGCAGACGGCAGCGCAAGCCAGGAGUGAAAGCCCGGGGCCCAACCCCGGGACUGCUCUUGGAACUGCGCGGCUGGAGUGCAGGAGAGGCAGGCGGAAUUCCUGGUGUAGCGGUGAAAUGCGUAGAUAUCAGGAGGAACACCGGUGGCGAAGGCGGCCUGCUGGACUGCGACUGACGUUGAGGCCCGAAAGCGUGGGGAGCAAACAGGAUUAGAUACCCCAGUAGUC
rnacentral:rRNA from 1 species